rnacentral:rRNA from 1 species
GAUGAACGCUAGCGGCAGGCUUAAUACAUGCAAGUCGAGGGGCAGCAGUUUUGUAGCAAUACAGAAGCUGGCGACCGGCAAACGGGUGCGGAACACGUACGCAACCUUCCUUUAACUGGAAGAUAGCCCACCGAAAGGUGGAUUAAUACUCCAUAACAUAUUGAAGAGGCAUCUCUUUGAUAUUAAAGCUCCGGCGGUUAAAGAGGGGCGUGCGUCUGAUUAGGUAGUUGGCGGGGUAACGGCCCACCAAGCCUUUGAUCAGUAGCUGAUAUGAGAGCAUGAUCAGCCAAACGGGCACUGAGACACGGGCCCGACUCCUACGGGAGGCAGCAGUAAGGAAUAUUGGUCAAUGGACGCAAGUCUGAACCAGCCAUGCCGCGUGGAGGAUGAAGGCCCUCUGGGUUGUAAACUUCUUUUCUUUGGGACGAAACCCCUGUUUCUACGGGGACUGACGGUACCAGAGGAAUAAGCACCGGCUAACUCCGUGCCAGCAGCCGCCGUAAAAC